rnacentral:rRNA from 1 species
CCUACGGGGCGCAGCAGUGAGGAAUAUUGGUCAAUGGGCGCGAGCCUGAACCAGCCAAGUAGCGUGAAGGAUGACUGCCCUACGGGUUGUACACUUCUUUUAUAAAGGUAUAAAGAGAGGCACGUGUGCCUUUUUGUGUGUACUUUAUGAAUAGGGAUCGGCAAACUCCGUGCGAGCAGCCGCGGUAAUACGGAGGAUCCGAGUGUUAUCCGGAUUUAUUGGGUUUAAAGGGAGCGUAGAUGGGUUGUAAAGUCAGUUGUGAAAGUUUGCGGCUCAACCGUAAAAUUGCAAUUGAUACUGGCAGUCUUGAGUACAGUUGAGGUAGGCGGAAUUCGUGGUGUAGCGGUGAAAUGCUUAGAUAUCACGAAGAACUCCGAUUGCGAAGGCAGCUUACUAAACUGCCACUGACAUUGAUGCUCGAAAGUGUGGGUAUCAAACAGGAUUAGAUACCCUAGUAGUC